UACGGAGGGUGCGAGCGUUGUCCGGAUUUAUUGGGUUUAAAGGGCGCGUAGGCGGCGUGUUAAGUCAGCUGUGAAAUCUCCGAGCUUAACUCGGAACGGUCAGCUGAUACUGAUGUGCUAGAGUGCAGAAGGGGCAAUCGGAAUUCUUGGUGUAGCGGUGAAAUGCGUAGAUAUCAAGAGGAACACCUGAGGUGAAGACGGGUUGCUGGGCUGACACUGACGCUGAGGCGCGAAAGCUAGGGUAGCAAACGGG
rnacentral:rRNA from 1 species